rnacentral:lncRNA from 1 species
CCACCUUUCCCAUGUCCCCUUUCUCUCUCUUACUUAGGGAAAGACACCUGCCUAAGAUCACAGGUCAAACCAGGCAUGGUUGUUUAUGCCUGUUCUCCAAACAUUAAGGAAGUAGACGCAGGAGGAUCCGAGUUCGAAACCAGCUCUGAAUGUACAGAGAAUUCGAGGCCAGCUGGGCCUACAGGACCCGUUUCUCAACAACCAACCAACCAUGGAAACCAGAGAAACGUUGAUCCUCAGAGAGAUCUAGAAGCCUGCUGAAGCCUGCAAGCAAGCCUACAACCUCCCUCAAGCUUCCUCGCCCUAAACCGGAGAGUCACCCCCUGAGCCUCCUUCCUGCUGGGGAACCCACUCCUUGGUCAGCAGUCUCCAAAUGAAGAAACCGGAAGAGCCAGAGCCGACUGAAGUGUGUCCAUGAGCAUGCGCAGCCCUCCGUGCGGCUGGCUUAACUCCUGCAUUUUCCGCAGCCCUUUCUCUGUACUCAUAGCUCAUAGGAAAGUCACGUUUUUGCUGUAGAAUUAAAGUUUAUGACAGCGGC